GGGUGUGGAUUAUGAGAUCAUUUAUUUACACAGUUAUCCCUGUCUGAUUAAUUUUUUGAUGUAUACUUGUGAUCUGACACAUAA